CGAAAACGACCACGGUUAAAGUAUGUGUUAAUAAAUAUUUCUUUGUGUCUCUUUGCAGGUUUCGCUGCAAGAAAUAAUACAACGCCGCCUUUUACCGCAAACAAGAUGAUGUCAUUACUCCAGCAAGCUUGUGAAAACGUAACGGCUGAAAACUGGAGUAAUGUCAUAGAAAAAGUUAAAAGCGUCAUACGCCAGGACUGGGAACGCGACGUCCACGUCGACACAAUAUUGGACCAAAGUUUUAUUUUAAAUGUAGAAUCGGAAUCGGAUGAGUCUUCCUGUUCGUCGAUUGAAACAGAUUGCGAAUAAAUUGAAUAAUUUAAUAUUGAGUUUCAUUUUUACACCCUUAAAACAUUAAUAAUUUAUUGACGAAAUUAAUUUUUAAUAAGCAGUUAAAAGUAUUUUUUAUAAUCGAUUAAAGGUUAACCGCAAUUGUACUCGAUAAUCGAAUCACAUAAAUUAAUUCUGUAUGGUCACCUCACUAUAGAGUUAAUUUGACAUGUGUCACCGUACCCAUCUUAGGUGAAAUGAAAUAUAAAUAAAUUGUUAUCAUGUAUACC